GUGCGGCCACCAUUACCUGUGCGACUAUAUAAAAUGCUCCUACUUUCAUUUUCGCAUUUGUCUGUAAAACUGCAGCUUUCGAGGGUCGUUUGGAAAAGAAAAGGCCUUGGAGGGUGAAGAACGUCCCAGCCAGAGACUUAGCGGCAGGCAGCUGAGCCUCCAGCUUCCUCUAGGGGGCAGCGGCAGCAAAGCGAACUCCGGGGAUACUCAGAGGUGGCUUCGGAUGAUCACAUGAGGGGGAGUGGCACACAAGAGGAUCGUACGAUCAGGUCAUAACACAGAGAUUAGCAAUAAGGCCCCAGCAGGAAUCAACUGGUCUGGAUUAGCACAAAAAUGGGAAAGAAGAGAGGAAAAAGAAGAGCUG